GAUACAGAAGAAGAAGAAGAAGAUUUAGCAAGAUCGAUCCAUACUUCUCUUACUUUAUUAUUAUAUAUAUAUUUUUUAAACACAAACUUUCCAUCUCCCAAUCUGAAACAAAAUGGACCACGCAACUACUAAUACUACUUCUCAGGAAGAAACGAUUGACAUGCUCAACGCCAUGCUCGAGCAAGAGAACUCAACGU
rnacentral:ribozyme from 15 species